GAUGAACGCUGGCGGCGUGCCUAACACAUGCAAGUCGAACGGAAAGGCCCUGCUUUUGCGGGGUGCUCGAGUGGCGAACGGGUGAGAAACACGUGAGUAUCCCGCCCUUGACUUUGGGAUAACUUUAGGGAACUGGGGCUAAUACCGGAUAGGAGCUCUUGCUGCACGGUGGGGGUUGGAAAGUUUCGGCGGUUGGGGAUGGAAUAGCGGCUUACCAGCUUGUUGGUGGGGUAGUGGCGUACCAAGCCUUCGAAGGAUAGCCGGCCUGAGAGGGUGGCCGGGGACAAUGGGACUGCGAGACGGCCCAGACGCGUACGGGAGGCAACAGGCGAAAGUAUUACACAGUGAGCGGAAGCCUGAUACGGAGGCGCCGCGUGCGGAAUGACGGCCUUCGGGGUAUGAACCGCUUUCGCCUGAGACAAAGCGGGAGUGACGGUAAUGGGUAAAGAAGCACCGGCUAACUACGUG
rnacentral:rRNA from 1 species